UAAUUUAAUGCAGUUCCAUUAGAACUGAGGGAAAAUAGCAUUUUUCUUGGUAUCUCUAAGCUUGAAAAGGCUGGAAACUUAAAUGUCGUUUUUUGGGCUGGGCAUGGUAACUCAUGCCUGUAAUCCCAGCACUUUGGGAAGCCGAGGCAGGUGGAUCACAAGAUCAGGAGUUCGAAACCAGCCUAGCCAACAUGAUGAAACCGUGUCUCUACUAAAAAUACAAAAAUCAGAUGGGUGUGGUGGUGCACGCCUGUAAUCCCAGCUACUUGGGAGGGUGAGGCAGGAGAAUUGCUUGAAUCUGGGAGGUGAAAGUUGCAGUGAGCAGAGAUCAUGCCAUUGCACUCCAGCUCUGGGCAACAGAGCAAGACUCCCUCUCGGGAGGUGGGGGGGGGAAAUGUCGUUUUUUUGUAAUGCCAGUUCA
rnacentral:lncRNA from 1 species